UUCAUACAUAUGCAUCUGUAUGUUCACAUGCAUAUAAAUGCUUUUAAAAUAGAGAGAAAUACAUAUCUAAAUAGAUAUUUAGUUGGCGUAAGAGCAAGUAUUUUAUGAUUAAAUUUGUUUUGAAGGAGCAGAAAGCCGCAACCAACAGCAACACUACAUAUAUGCACAAGUAUGAGCAUAGACAUAUGAAUAUGAGACAAAAAUAUACAUAUGUGUGUAUGUUCAUACACACACAUAAAUAUCACAAGUAUUACCAAGCACAACAAAAAUAAAAUAAGAGACAGUAUACAAUUUGAGGCUAUGUCAAUGUUUACAGUUCGAGUCGUGGGUAAACUCGGCACUAGGAAAUAAAAUAUAUAGUUUUGCACAUACAUAUAUACAUACGUACAUCUUUUCACUUAAUAUCAAGGAUGUAGCAAUGAAAAACAGCUACAUAUCAUAUUGAUCAUCUAUGUAUAAUGAAUGUAAAUACCAUUUGCAUUUAUUAAAAAUAAACAAAUUCAUACCUGGAUGCAAGGAGUUUUAAGUUUUGCGUUGAGUUUAUGCAAGAUUGCUGGCGUUUAGUUUGUAGAAAGAUAAAGUGACGCUUUGUGUUGGCUGAUGCAGACCUCCCCUACGUGCUGUGGUAUGGUAUCCUGUGCGCGUGAGCUAGCGUCAAGGAAGUACUUUUGUUUAACAAACUUGCUACACAAUCUGAAGCACUCACAUACACAAAAAAAAAACCUUAUGUAUUGAUUUUUCACAAUAACUAAACCAGCACGUCACAUAAAUAAAAUUUUUUUAAUGUGUUCAAGUUA